AGAGGAAACGUUGUGGAGCUCGUGUACCGCCAGGUCCAGUAGUGUUUUGAAAACACUUUGUGUGCCAUCAAAAGUGAAACUAAGUAUUUCUCCUUUGCUCCCUAUGGAGCUAAGUAAUAACCCAAGUCAUCUUCUCUGGUUGUAUUCCCUAACAUUUGUCAUGUCAUGUCAUUAUCCAAGCCACUUAUCCUCACUUGGAUUGCGGGAAAGCUGGAGCCUAUCCCGGCGAGCUUCGGGCCAAAGGCGGACGACGCCCUGAACUGAUCGCCAGUCAGUCUUAGGGCAGAUACCGGCACCAUCACUGAGCGGGAAUCGAUCCCACGCUGCCCGCACCAAAGGCAGCCGUGUGUACCGCUACACUAUCAGUGACUCCACUUCCCCAACAUUUAUUGUGUGUAAAAAGGUGAUUUGUAUCGAGUGCUAGUGUGCUAGCCUUUUCUUUAAGCUAAUAUGUUAGCCAAUGCUAUCGAUCGGCCUCACAUGAAGCUGGUUUGUUUGUGUUGAAUAAUUUAUUAAAUACAUCCGGUUGAGGCGGCACGGUGGAUCAGCUGGUCGAGCGUUGGCCUCACAGAUUUGAGGACCCGGGUUCGAUCCCGGCCCCGCCUGUGUGGAGUUUGCGUGUUCUCCCCGUGCCUGCGUGGGUUUUCUCCGGUCUCCUCCCACAUCCCGAAAACAUGCAACAUUAAUUGAACACUCUAAAUUGCCCCAAGGUGUGAUUGUGAGUGUGGCCGUUUGUCUCCAUGUGCCCUGCGAUUGGCUGGCAAGCAGUUCAGGGUGUACCCCGCCUCCUGCCCGUCGACAGCCUGGAUAGGCUCCACCACUCCUCUUUGUGAAAAACGUGAAAUUGUCCGUAGUGCGUAUCGUGUGCAUGAGGUAUGGUAUUGUCUCACCUCCCUCAUGAAUACAGUCCAGUUUGUCCACAGAGGUCACUGAGAAGAGACGGUAGCCAGUCUUGGUGCCCACUGACAGGGAACUAAAGACACCAAAAAAAUUAUCGGUCGGUGAUAACAACAACGCUACGGCUCAGGCUGGGCAGGCCACCUGCUAAGUUUUACAACCAGUCCUCGUCAGAGGAACACCUGGAACCCGAACAGACAGUUCUGCUCUAGAUACGAAGCGGACUUUAAUAAUUACUCAAGAGUAAAAAUCAUGGUUCCGAACAUACCUGGGUUUUUAGGUGAGGGUUUGGUUCACAUUGUGUGGAAUUUUCUCUUUUUUUUAAUAUCAAAACAAUUUUAUUUGCUGUUACACUUUGUUGUUGUUUUCCUACUAUAAAUAAAUUUUUGCACAUUG